CCGGCGACCGGCGCACGGGUGAGUAACACGUAUGCAACCUGCCCUCCGCAGGGGGAUAACCCGGAGAAAUCCGGACUAAUACCGCGUGGUACACCAGUGGGGCAUCCCACUGGUGUUAAAAGGAAGUGAUUCCGGCGGAGGAUGGGCAUGCGGCGCAUUAGCUUGUUGGCGGGGUAACGGCCCACCAAGGCAACGAUGCGUAGGGGUUCUGAGAGGAAGGUCCCCCACACUGGUACUGAGACACGGACCAGACUCCUACGGAAGGCAGCAG
rnacentral:rRNA from 1 species